CAGGACCAGAAAAAAUGUCAACUCGUGCAAUGAUGUCAACUCCUGGUCCAGAAAUCCCGUCAACUCAUGACCUUGCGUGGACAGAGGGCGAGAUUCCUUGUACAAGGCAGAUGUGCAUGAUGGCCUGCGCUAGGGACAAUCAGGACAGAAUCGUCAUCGAUGCCGCCUGUGCUGGCUGGGGCCGGUGUACGUGCAAGUUUCAUCCUUGAACACCUGUGGGAUCAUCCGAAUGUACGACGCUACGCUGGGCAAUUAGUUAUAUCAUUAUUGACGGCUCAUGGCUCCAUGGCAAUGAGUAUUGGUGCUCAUAGUGCAUUAUUGCUAUGGAAUUAAAAGUGGCCUAAUACAG